UAUAUGUUGUAUAUAUAAAUCCUAGAUAUGAAAAUAUGUGAAAUUUGUCCAUGAAAAUGAAAAAAAGGGGUAUAGAUAUAAGAAAAAGGGAUAGGUUGAGUGCAUAAAUGGAUAUGCUAAAAUACAAAAUGAAAUAAGAGCUAAUGAGAUAGAAAUAAUGAAUCGUAAAUAAAGUUCAGGUUUGAAUUCCCUACCCUCCUCCU
rnacentral:lncRNA from 1 species